rnacentral:tRNA from 1 species
UGCCCGGUAGUGUAAUCGGUAACACAGCAGCUUUUGGAGCUGCCUUUUCUGGUUCGAGUCCAGACCGGGCAG